rnacentral:rRNA from 1 species
UCUUUUUGUUUUUUAUUUAAAGUCAGACCUGCCCAAUGAAUUUUAAAUGGCCGCAGUACUUUAACUGUGCAAAGGUAGCAUAAUAAUUUGUUUUUUAAUUGGAAACUUGUAUGAAUGGUCAUACGAGGGAUUGACUUUCUUUAUCUUAUAUUAAUUAAUUUUAUUUCUCUGUGAAAAAGCAGAGAUGUAUUUAUUAGACGAUAAGACCCUUUAAAACUUUAUUUAUUAUAAAAGCAUGAGUUUUUAGUUGUUUUUUUGUGCUAUUUUUAGUGAAUUUUGUUGGGGCGACAGGUAAAUUUAUUGAACUUUACUUUUUUAUAUCACAAAUUAGUGUUUGUUUGAUCCAGGUUUAUGUUCUGAUUAAAAGCUUAAGUUACUUAA